rnacentral:lncRNA from 1 species
CACUGAGGUUCAACCGAUAAGUUAUUCGGAGAAUAUGUAGGAUCCAAUAUGGGCAUCCAGGUCCCGGUAUUGGAUAUUGAUCGAGGAGUACCUCGGGGCAUGUCUGCAUAGUUCUCGAACCCGCAGGGUCUGCACACUUAAGGUUCGGCGAUGUUUUAGUAUAGUUGAGUUAUAUGUGUGGUUACCGAAUGUUGUUCGGAGUCCCGGAUGAGAUCACGGACGUCACGAGGGUU